rnacentral:rRNA from 1 species
CAACUUUCAACAACGGAUCUCUUGGCUCUCGCGUCGAUGAAGAACGCAGCGAAAUGCGAUAAGUAAUGUGAAUUGCAGAAUUCAGUGAAUCAUCGAAUCUUUGAACGCACCUUGCGCCCCUUGGUAUUCCGAGGGGCAUGCCUGUUUGAGUGUCAUUA